GCACUGUAUGUUACAUCCGUUAUUCGUGAGUAGGGCAGUGAGCAAUCGGUUAAUAAAGCUAGAUCAUUCAAUCAACGGGGGCCGUUUGACGAGCAACGGGCAGAAGUUCGCGCGUCACUAAUGUUAAAGUACGUUUUUGCAACGUGUGGACAAAGUGUCCUUUGACACAGUUUUAGACGCAGAAGAUAAACCCUAGGUAAAGGCACCAUCCAUUGGAGCAAAUCUACAGAAAGAGACAAGAUGCAAUGCUUCAGACCGCCGGGUGAGCCACCUAAAGUAUGGAAACACAUAGAAAAGACGGAUAAGGACGGGAAGCUCAUGAAGUUCACGAUUCAGGAGAUACCCGAAGACCGGUACGACGAUGCGAUUGAACAUAUGUGCACGUACUUCUUAGCUGAUGAACCGACCUGUAGCUGUUUAAAUGCGAAAAAUGACCCUUUAUUUAUACAAGACGUGAUUACGCUAUGGCGUCUAUUACUCGCGCAAGGCAUAUCUAUAGCCGCGUUCAUCGACAAUCCUUCCGGUGGGGAACCCAUAAUGGCUGGGAUGAACAUUCUAGGUGUUGACGCUAAAAGUCAGGAAGAUAAAAUGUCCGAUUUUCAGUUUAAAUCAGAGAAGGUCAAAUAUAUAUAUGAAAUCAUGGGUGGUGCAACUAAGAUGACGUACGAAUAUUACGGAAUUGACAAGUAUCUAUAUGCUUUUGGGCUUAGCGUAGACCCUGUUUAUCGAGGUUACGGAUUAGGCAAGGAUAUUCUGAAAAUCAGGUAUCUCAUCGGACCUAAGUACGGAUUACCAGCAACAUCCACUGUGUUUACAUCGAUAAUUUCGCAGAGGUCAGCGGCGGGUGUGGGAUUCGAAGAACUUCUGACGAAAAAAUAUGCCGAUUUCGUGGAUGAGAAUGGAAAGGAAAAAUUCCCUGGUAUUAAAUCCAAAGAGUUUAAAGUCAUGGCUAAAAGAUUUCUCUAAUAAGGUCUAAUGGACGUGGUGAUAUUCAAGAAUCACGAAAUUUAUUUUAUUUUGUAACUGGAAGUUGUCAAUUUCAUUAGAAUUCUGCCAAUAAAACACACGCAAAAACACGAGUAAAAGAGCCAUGAAUAACUCAUGGCAAUGCUGCCAUGUAACUACGAUGAGACUGUAACAUAUAAACAUGAAAUGGUGUGUUACCCAUCGGAAAUAUCCGUGGCUACGUAGUUCAAGGUGCACAUUUUGUGCAUGCAGAGGCGCCAGCGGACGAGUUCUAUCUAAAACGAGGACACUUUUAAGUCAUUUAAAACUUACAAGAGAGCAUUAUCUGCAUAGUGUUUCCACGUUCUUAUCGGCUGGUUUGAAUGUCAAUAUGGAUCGGCGGAAAAUAUGCAAAAAUUUACGCAACUAAUAUAUAUAUAAAA